GACGAACGCUGGCGGCGGGCUUAACACAUGCAAGUCGAACGGAAAGGCCUCUUUCGGGGGGUCCUCGAGUGGCGAACGGGUGAGUAACACGUGAGUAACCUGCCCUUUACUUUGUGAUAAGUUCUGGAAACGGGGGCUAAUACCGGAUAGGAGCUCCUGCUGCAGGGUGGGGGCUGGAAAGUUUCGGCGGUUGGGGGUGGGCUCGCGGCGUAUCGGCUUGUGGGUGGGGUGGUGGCUUACGAAGGCUUUGGCGGGUAGCCGGCCAGUGAGGGUGAGCGGCGACACUGGGACUGAGAGACGGCACCGGUGGCGACGGGUGGCCGCAGUGGGGAAGAUUGCACCAUGGGUGCCGGCCUGAUGCAGAAGCGCCGUGUGCGGGAUGACGGUCUUCGGGUUGUAGAACGCUUUCGCUCAUGACGCAGCUUUGUGUGACGGUAGUGGGUAAAGAAGCACCGGCUAACUACGUG
rnacentral:rRNA from 1 species